CCUACGGGAGGCAGUAGUGAGGAAUAUUGGUCAAUGGACGCAAGUCUGAACCAGCCAAGUAGCGUGCAGGAUGACGGCCCUCCGGGUUGUAAACUGCUUUUAGUUGGGAAUAAAAGGGGGCUCGUGAGCCCCGUAUUGUAUGUACCAUCAGAAAAAGGACCGGCUAAUUCCGUGCCAACAGCCGCUGUAAUACGGAAGGUCCGGGCGUUAUCCGGAUUUUUUGGGUUUAAAGGGAGCUUAGGCCGGCUUUUAAGUGAGCUGUGAAAGUCCGCGGCUCAACCGUGGAAUUGCAGUUGAGAUUGGAGGGCUUGAGUGCACACAGGGAUGCCGGAAUUCAUGGUGUAGCGGUGAAAUGCUUAGAUAUCAUGAAGAACUCCGAUCGCGAAGGCAAGUGUCCGGGGUGCAACUGACGCUGAGGCUCGAAAGUGCGGGUAUCAAACAGGAUUAGAUACCCCUGUAGUC
rnacentral:rRNA from 1 species